rnacentral:rRNA from 1 species
UACGGAGGGUGCGAGCGUUGUCCGGAUUUAUUGGGUUUAAAGGGCGCGUAGGCGGGCUGCCAAGUCUGGGGUGAAAUCCUCCGGCUCAACCGGAGAACGGCCUCGGAUACUGGCGGUCUGGAGGGAGGUAGGGGCGUGCGGAACUCAGGGUGGAGCGGUGAAAUGCGUUGAUAUCCGGAGGAACUCCGGUGGCGAAGGCGGCACGCUGGACCUUUUCUGACGCUGAGGCGCGAAAGCCAGGGGAGCAAACGGG